AACAGCUACAUCACGACUGUCCCACAAAUUAGGUGAGUUUUCGACCUCAACCUUUUCCAAAAUCAUGUAAUACAUCUUAUAGAUCUCUUCACCAUAAACAUGAUGGGCUUUGAAUCGAGACAAAUGGUUAGGUAUCAAGAGAGAAAAGUGGAUUUUAAGUUUGAUGGUCAAAGUUGUUUUUGUUUGUUUCUUCCGUUUUGA
rnacentral:lncRNA from 1 species